rnacentral:lncRNA from 1 species
UUCCAAAGGUUUUCCUAAAAAUAUAACCAACAACAGGGGGAAAAAAAGAUACCCAGAUUCCAAGGACCUCACGAUGGUGCUGAAAACCUAUGACACCAGCUUCCUGGACUUUCUCAGAAGGUGUUUGGUAUGGGAACCUUCUCUUCGCAUGACCCCGGACCAGGCCCUCAAGCAUGCUUGGAUUCAUCAGUCUCGGAACCUCAAGCCACAGCCCAGGCCCCAGACCCUGAGGAAAUCCAAUUCCUUUUUCCCCUCUGAGACAAGGAAGGACAAGGUUCAAGGCUGUCAUCACUCGAGCAGAAAAGGUACAGCCUGUCAAAUAACCAGUCCUAGUCCCACAGUCCGGGAAUUAAUAUUCUAGAAUUCUGUAAAUCUCCUUGUGAUAUUUUUGAAGCCCCAGUUCUGUAGUCUGGAAAUUAAAAUCUUUGUUUUUAAUAUUCUGUUUAAUAUGCUGUUUAAGCAUUUCUGAA